rnacentral:snoRNA from 1 species
CUUUUUUGGUGUAUAAACAUGAUGAUUAGGUGUACACUGUUGUGUGAGUUGUAUCCCUCUCUUUAAACCUUGUUAUAACAUCAGCACAUUACCUGUCUGAU